UGGGGAAUCUUGCGCAAUGGGCGAAAGCCUGACGCAGCGACGCCGCGUGAGUGAUGAAGGCCUUCGGGUUGUAAAGCUCUGUGGAGGGGGACGAAUAAGGGCCGGCGAAUACCCGGCCCGAUGACGGUACCCUUUUAGCAAGCACCGGCUAACUCUGUGCCAGCAGCCGCGGUAAGACAGAGGGUGCAAACGUUGUUCGGAAUUACUGGGCGUAAAGCGCGUGUAGGCUGCUCGGAAAGUCGGGUGUGAAAGCCCUGGGCUCAACCCAGGAAGUGCACUCGAAACUCCCGAGCUGGAGUUCUGGAGAGGAAGGCGGAAUUCUCGGUGUAGAGGUGAAAUUCGUAGAUAUCGAGAGGAACAUCGGUGGCGAAGGCGGCCUUCUGGACAGAAACUGACGCUGAGACGCGAAAGCGUGGGGAGCAAACAGG
rnacentral:rRNA from 1 species